rnacentral:rRNA from 1 species
UACGUAGGGUGCAAGCGUUAAUCGGAAUUACUGGGCGUAAAGCGUGCGCAGGCGGUUAUGUAAGACAGUUGUGAAAUCCCCGGGCUCAACCUGGGAAUUGCAUCUGUGACUGCAUAACUAGAGUACGGUAGAGGGGGAUGGAAUUCCGGCGUGUAGCAGUGAAAUGCGUAGAUAUGCGGAGGAACACCGAUGGCGAAGGCAAUCCCCUGGACCUGUACUGACGCUCAUGCACGAAAGCGUGGGGAGCAACGAGG